rnacentral:rRNA from 1 species
AAAAGCGGAGGAAAAGAAACUAACAAGGAUUCCCCUAGUAACGGCGAGUGAAGUGGGAAAAGCUCAACUUUGAAAUCUGGUACCUUUGGUAUCCGAGUUGUAGUCUCAAGAAACGUUUUCUGUGCUGGCCCAUGUAUGAGUCUGUUGGAACACAGCGUCAUAGAGGGUGACAACCCCGUUCAUGACAUGGACCCCAGUACUUUGUGAUACGUUCUCGAAGAGUCGAGUUGUUUGGGAAUGCAGCUCAAAUUGGGUGGUAAAUUCCAUCUAAAGCUAAAUAUUGGUGAGAGACCGAUAGCAAACAAGUACCGUGAGGGAAAGAUGAAAAGCACUUUGGAAAGAGAGUUAACAGUACGUGAAAUUGUUGAAAGGGAAACGAUUGAAGUCAGACGUGCGUGAUGCAGUUCAGCCUAGGUUCGCCUGGGUGUACUCUGUAUCUUUGCAGGCCAACAUCGGUUUUGCGAGACGGAUAAAGGUUAGAGAAAUGUGGCAGGUCCGCCUGUGUUAUAGUCUCUGACUGAAUACGUUUUGUGGGACCGAGGAACGCAGCGCGCCGCAAGGCAAAGGUUCCGACCUUUUCGCGCUUAGGAUGUGUAAGCAGGAGUU